rnacentral:rRNA from 1 species
UACGUAGGGUGCAAGCGUUGUCCGGAAUUAUUGGGCGUAAAGAGCUCGUAGGCGGUCUGUCGCGUCGGCUGUGAAAACCCGAGGCUCAACCUCGGGCCUGCAGUCGAUACGGGCAAACUAGAGUACUGCAGGGGAGACUGGAAUUCCUGGUGUAGCGGUGAAAUGCGCAGAUAUCAGGAGGAACACCGGUGGCGAAGGCGGGUCUCUGGGCAGCACCUGACGCUGAGGCGCGAAGGCCAGGGGAGCAAACGGG